rnacentral:rRNA from 1 species
AUUGAACGCUGGCGGCAUGCCUUACACAUGCAAGUCGAACGGCAGCACGGGAGCAAUCCUGGUGGCGAGUGGCGAACGGGUGAGUAAUGUAUCGGAACGUGCCCAGUCGUGGGGGAUAACGUAGCGAAAGCUACGCUAAUACCGCAUACGAUCUAUGGAUGAAAGCGGGGGAUCUCAAGACCUCGCGCGAUUGGAGCGGCCGAUAUCAGAUUAGGUAGUUGGUGGGGUAAAGGCUCACCAAGCCGACGACCUGUAGCUGGUCUGAGAGGACGACCAGCCACACUGGGACUGAGACACGGCCCAGACUCCUACGGGAGGCAGCAGUGGGGAAUUUUGGACAAUGGGCGCAAGCCUGAUCCAGCAAUGCCGCGUGCAGGAUGAAGGCCUUCGGGUUGUAAACUGCUUUUGUACGGAGCGAAAAGGCUCUCUCUAAUACAGGGGGCUCAUGACGGUACCGUAAGAAUAAGCACCGGCUAACUACGUGCCAGCAGCCGCCGUAACAC